CGACGGCACAUCAUGUGAGGUGCCCCGCGCGAGCGGGGAGAAUCGGGAAGCCGGUGCGAAUCCGGCACGGGCCCGCCGCGGUGACCGGGGAGCCACCGUCCACGCGCGCAGCGCAGCCACUGGCCCAGCGGCCGGGAAGGCGGACGGCCAGGCGUCGAUCCGGGAGUCCGAAGACCGGCCUCGCGUCAGGUGCCCAC
rnacentral:ncRNA from 1 species